UACCGAGGGUGCGAGCGUUGUCCGGAAUCACUGGGCGUAAAGGGCGCGUAGGUGGCGCUCCAAGUCCAUGGUGAAAGCUCGAUGCUCAACAUCGAGUCGGCCACGGAUACUGGAGGGCUGGAGCACUGUAGGGGCAGAUGGAAUUCCGGGUGUAGCGGUGGAAUGCGUAGAGAUCCGGAAGAACACCGGUGGCGAAGGCGGUCUGCUGGGCAGUUGCUGACACUGAGGCGCGACAGCGUGGGGAGCAAACAGG
rnacentral:rRNA from 1 species